rnacentral:rRNA from 1 species
GGUUAAGCGACUAAGCGUACACGGUGGAUGCCCUGGCAGUCAGAGGCGAUGAAGGACGUGCUAAUCUGCGAAAAGCGUCGGUAAGGUGAUAUGAACCGUUACAGCCGGCGAUGUCCGAAUGGGGAAACCCAGUGCAAUUCGUUGCACUAUCGUUAACUGAAUACAUAGGUUAACGAGGCGAACCGGGGGAACUGAAACAUCUAAGUACCCCGAGGAAAAGAAAUCAACCGAGAUUCCCCCAGUAGCGGCGAGCGAACGGGGAGCAGCCCAGAGUCUGAAUCAGCUUGUGUGUUAGUGGAACGGUCUGGAAAGUCCGACGGUACAGGGUGAUAGUCCCGUACACCAAAAUGCACAGGCUGUGAACUCGAAGAGUAGGGCGGGACACGUGGUAUCCUGUCUGAAUAUGGGGGGACCAUCCUCCAAGGCUAAAUACUCCUGACUGACCGAUAGUGAACCAGUACCGUGAGGGAAAGGCGAAAAGAACCCCGGCGAGGGGAGUGAAAAAGAACCUGAAACCGUGUACGUACAAGCAGUGGGAGCACCUUCGGGUGUGACUGCGUACCUUUUGUAUAAUGGGUCAGCGACUUAUAUUCUGUAGCAAGGUUAACC